AUUGAACGCUGGCGGCAUGCUUUACACAUGCAAGUCGAACGGCAGCGCGGGCUUCGGCCUGGCGGCGAGUGGCGAACGGGUGAGUAAUGCAUCGGAACGUGCCCAGUAGUGGGGGAUAGCCCGGCGAAAGCCGGAUUAAUACCGCAUACGACCUGAGGGUGAAAGCGGGGGACCGAAAGGCCUCGCGCUAUUGGAGCGGCCGAUGUCGGAUUAGCUAGUUGGUGGGGUAAAGGCUCACCAAGGCGACGAUCCGUAGCUGGUCUGAGAGGACGACCAGCCACACUGGGACUGAGACACGGCCCAGACUCCUACGGGAGGCAGCAGUGGGGAAUUUUGGAAAAUGGGGGCAACCCUGAUCCAGCCAUGCCGCGUGCGGGAAGAAGGCCUUCGGGUUGUAAACCGCUUUUGUUCGGGAAGAAAUCCUCUGGGCUAAUACCCCGGGGGGAGGACGGUACCGGAAGAAUAAGCACCGGCUAACUACGU
rnacentral:rRNA from 1 species